rnacentral:rRNA from 1 species
AAUCAACGCUGGCGGCGUGCCUCAGACAUGCAAGUCGAACGAUUAAAGCUCUCUUCGGUAGAGUGCAUAGAGUGGCGCACGGGUGAGUAACACGUAAGUAAUCUACCGUUCGAGGUGGGGAAUAACCGGUCCGGGAAACGGACGCUAAUACCGCAUAAUGCAGCGGCAUCGCAAGAUGACAGUUGUAAAGAGCAAUUCGCUUGAAGAGGAGCUUGCGGCAGAUUAGCUAGUUGGUAAGGUAAUGGCUUACCAAGGCUACGAUCUGUAACCGGUCUAAGAGGACGGUCGGUCACACUGACACUGAA